rnacentral:rRNA from 1 species
UACGUAGGGAGCAAGCGUUGUUCGGAUUUACUGGGCGUAAAGGGCGCGUAGGCGGCAAUUCAAGUCAUCUGUGAAAUCUCCGGGCUUAACUCGGAACGGUCAGAUGAUACUGCUUUGCUAGAGUGCGGAAGGGGCAAUCGGAAUUCUCGGUGUAGCGGUGAAAUGCGUAGAUAUCGAGAGGAACACCAGAGGUGAAGACGGGUUGCUGGGCCGACACUGACGCUGAGGCGCGGAAAGCCAGGGGAGCAAACGGG